GUCAGUUUGGCGUAGACAAUUUCUUGUCUCGUGUGGAAGCUGGAAUUUCUCCAGCUCGGAAGAGUUCCACUUCAGCAAGAUAAUGAUGCGAGGCGCUCCACAGGACUGUUUGUUAUUGAAAAUGGUGAAAAUUAUAAAAGGAAAACCAUUUAACAUCUCUGGAAAUGGUCCUGGAGGCAAGCAGCAAAUGAAGAAACAUUUAUCCAAGAGAAUCUACAAAAGGAAUAUUUAACUCAACUGGAUUAUCAUCCUUGGAAGUAAUUGGCUGCACAUUCUACAACAUUAUUGG